GCCCAUGUAGCUCAGUCGGUAGAGCACACCCUUGGUAAGGGUGAGGUCGAUGGUUCGAUUCCAUUCGUGGGCACCA
rnacentral:tRNA from 1 species